UACGUAGGGUGCGAGCGUUGUCCGGAAUUAUUGGGCGUAAAGAGCUUGUAGGCGGUUUGUCGCGUCUGCUGUGAAAAUCCGGGGCUCAACCCCGGACUUGCAGUGGGUACGGGCAGACUAGAGGUGUGGUAGGGGAGACUGGAAUUCCUGGUGUAGCGGUGAAAUGCGCAGAUAUCAAGGAGGAACACCCGAUGGCGAAGGCAGGUCUCUGGGCCAACUACU
rnacentral:rRNA from 1 species